rnacentral:rRNA from 1 species
AGCUACCGUCAUUUUCUUGACUCAUAAAAGGAGUUUACACACCGAAAUGCGUCAUCCUCCACGCGGCGUUGCUGCAUCAGGGUUUCCCCCAUUGUGCAAUAUUCCU